AUUGAACGCUGGCGGCAGGCCUAACACAUGCAAGUCGAACGAGUGGCGGACGGGUGAGUAAUGUCUGGGAACCUGCCCGAUGGAGGGGGAUAACUACGGGAAACGGUAGCUAAUACCGCAUACCAUGGGAUGUGGCCAGAUGGGAUUAGCUUGUGGGUGAGGUAACGUCUCACCUAGGCGACGAUCCCUAGCUGGUCUGAGAGGAUGACCAGCGACUCUGGAACUGAGACACGGUCCAGACUCCUACGGUAGGCAGCAGUGGGGAAUAUUGCACAAGUGGCGCAAGCCUGAUGAAGCCAUGCCGCGUGUAUGAAGAAGGCUUUCGGGUUGUAAAGUACUUUCAGCGGGGAAGCGUUACCCGCAGAAGAAGCACCGGCUAACUCCGUGCCAGCAGCCGCGGUAAUUC
rnacentral:rRNA from 1 species